CAGAUGGAGAUGGAGAGUGAGGACCUUGUACCAUCACCACCUUUCCAUUUGAUGAAUCCAAAGGGCAUAAAGCUUUCUAGGAAAGGCAACAUAUCCCAAGGAACCCAGCUUCUGCAGCCAUCGUGAGGACUCAGCAGGAGGAUGGCCCCAUCCGUCCAACCCACAGAACCAACUCCAAUACUGGAAGUAUGUUGUUGUAGCAUGUGUAUGUGUCUGAGUCUCCUAACUUGGCCUGCUGUAACUAUAUAUGUGAGUGAGUGAGAUGUUAGUAACAUUCCUGAAAAGUGUUUUCAUCAUUCUAGAUUGCAGCCGGUAGCAACAAGAAGUGCUGCAAUGUGUGUGGACGCAAGAAGGACAGGAAGACACAGCACACAUGCAUCAAGUGCAAGAAAUACAUUUGCAAUACUCACACAGUAAAACUCUGUCCCUCGUGGUGUGUAGACCAGCCUUAAUUUGUGUUCAAUGGGGUUCAUUUAAAAUUUCCAUAAAAUACUGUAUAUAUAAACCCUUCUAAUUUCUUCAGUUCAAAGCAAUAAACAUUAAUAGUGAUAAAAACCUUGUUUCCUUUAUAUUUGUUGAAGAUAAACACAAUUUAUUCCACCCAUGUCUUGAUUAUAAAAAUAAAAAACGAUUAGCGCUUUAAUUGAUAAAUGUGAUCUAGCAGAGGU
rnacentral:lncRNA from 1 species